AUGCUUCCCCAUGACCCCCACACUGCUAAUGCCAGCAGCUGCCUCCCAGCCCGAGGCCCACCUGGCACAGCAGGCCCACAGGUCAUGCUCUCUGACACAUGGGAUGGAACAGGCCAAGCCCACCUUGGACUUUCACCAUCACCUUGGCAACUCAGAAAAUCACACACACUCCAGCGUGCACUCAGCCAUCUGUACACCAUGGCCAUCUGCAGACCUAUGGACUCACCAGGCACCUGUGUCCACUUCUCUGGCCACCAUCCCAUCAUUCUGCAUCCUCCCAUCCCGCCACUGGACCAGUCACCCAUCGACGAUUCCCCUGUUCCAUCCGUCCAUCCAACUAACAUUUACUGGCUGUGCUCUCACCCUGGCCAGGGGAGACGGCCAAAGAAUAAAGGGGUGGAGUGCCCACCAGCUCUGACGAAUGUAAGGGGGUGUGAUGUGACGGGGGGGCAGGGGGUGCCUUCAUCCGAGGGACUGCAGGUGCCAGGUCCUGAGGUGAGAGAGUAGGGGGCAGGCAGAAGGCAUGAGGGGGAAGUGAUGAGAAAGCCUCAGGACAGACCUGUGAGCGCCUGCUGUAUACGGGGAGACUCAGAGCCUGAGGAAGAAACUGAGGGCCUGCCUUGGGACAGCUGGGUCUCGGGGUGAGGGAAGGGGACAGUGUUUCUCUCUGUCGAGAGGCCCUAGGGCAAGCCUGAGAGGGACCCCACAGCCUAGGUCUGCCUCCAUCCCAUGGGCUAAGGGGCUGCACGGAGGGGCCCCGCAGGAAUGGGGGAGGGGCGGCACAGACACACACACCCCUGGCACUGCAGCCUGGGGUUCUGGGAAGGCCCAGACGGGACAGGCCUGAGCAGGUGUGGUGGAGGCAGGCGCAGGCUGACCUCCUUGAGCACAUGCAAACCUCCGGCUCAGCCUGCUCCGCCCACCUCAACGGACACUGGACAACGGCUGACAUCUUCAUCCGAACCCUCAACUCCUCCCCUGUGGCUGACCCAUCGGCCUCAGGCCCUCGUCCAGCUCUGCCAUCACUGCCUGGCUGGAAUCUGGCCACAGGGAGUGACAGGGUGGUCCCCACCAGCCCCGAGCUGGAGCUCACCCAGAGAGCUGCCUCUCAUGCCUGGCAGCGAAGGUGAGAUUCACUGUGAAGGUGCCCCCACAACACGGACAUUGGUUCAGGAAAGCCCCCUCCCCUCAGGUGUCAGCCCCUGCUGAUCUGGGUCCUUCCACGUCCUGGCACCAGGCUAGUGGGCUAGGAGAGGCCCAGUUGGCCAGCACGGUCUGCCGUCCCCUGGGUGCGCCCACCCUCUGGGCCAGCCAUGUGCCCUCCUCAACUGGGGGUCUGCAGGCAGUGGGAGGGGACCACAGCACCCGAGGGUUAUGACAGACCCUCUCAUUGCCACCGGGCUGGCGAGGGUCUCAGUGGCCCCCGCGAGGUCUGGAGGUGUCUUGUCAUUGCCACAUGCCCUGGACCAACCUGGUACCUGGCCUGUAGGUAGAGUGUUGACCCUUU
rnacentral:lncRNA from 1 species